AUGGCGUCCAAGGUCGAGCUGGUGGUGGAGGUGAAGUCGCCGGCGGAGAAGCUGUGGACGGCGAUGCGCGAGUCGACGGAGCUGUUCCCCAAGAUCUUCCCCGAGCAGUACAAGAGCAUCGAGACCGUGGAGGGCGACGGCAAGUCCGCCGGCACCGUCCGCCUCAUCAAGUACACCGAGGGUACGUGCGCGCGCCGUGAAACGAUCCACAUGUCCAGACGAGUAUGUGUAAGCUUGUAAGUGCAUAUGUAACGUGAGCAUUGGGUGCGUUGCGUUCAGGGGUUCCGAUGGUGACGUUCGCCAAGGAGAAGGUGGAGGUGGCGGACGACGAGAAGAAGGUGGUGUCGUACAGCGUGGUGGACGGCGAGCUGGUGAGCUUCUACAAGAACUUCAGGGUGACGGUGCAGGUGACCGACAAGGGCGCCGACGGCGCCGGCGCGGUGGUGAACUGGACCAUGGACUUCGACAAGGCCAGCGACGAGGUGCCCGAGCCGGACGUCAUCAAGGAGACCGCCGCCAAGACCUUCCACGACCUCGACGACUACCUCCUCAAGAACUAGCAGCUUUUAGCUGCCUCGUCGCCAGGGUGGCCGCCGCGGACGACCCUCCGUCUGUCCGUCCGUCCGUCCGUCCGUCCAUGAAUACUGUCGUCGUUGCCUGUUCUCUGCGGUGUCCCCGCACCAAGCUUACUCUCACGUAAACG
rnacentral:lncRNA from 1 species